GAUGAACGCUGGCGGCGUGCCUAAUACAUGCAAGUCGAGCGAACAGGCGAGGAGCUUGCUCCUCUGACGUUAGCGGCGGACGGGUGAGUAACACGUGGAUAACCUACCUAUAAGACUGGGAUAACUUCGGGAAACCGGAGCUAAUACCGGAUAAUAUAUUGAACCGCAUGGUUCAAUAGUGAAAGACGGUUUUGCUGUCACUUAUAGAUGGAUCCGCGCCGCAUUAGCUAGUUGGUAAGGUAACGGCUUACCAAGGCAACGAUGCGUAGCCGACCUGAGAGGGUGAUCGGCCACACUGGAACUGAGACACGGUCCAGACUCCUACGGGAGGCAGCAGUAGGGAAUCUUCCGCAAUGGGCGAAAGCCUGACGGAGCAACGCCGCGUGAGUGAUGAAGGUCUUCGGAUCGUAAAACUCUGUUAUUAGGGAAGAACAAAUGUGUAAGUAACUAUGCACGUCUUGACGGUACCCAAUCAGAAAGCCACGGCUAACUACGUG
rnacentral:rRNA from 1 species